rnacentral:rRNA from 1 species
UACGGGGGGGGCAAGCGUUGUUCGGAAUUACUGGGCGUAAAGGGCUCGUAGGCGGCCAACUAAGUCAGACGUGAAAUCCCUCGGCUCAACCGGGGAACUGCGUCUGAUACUGGAUGGCUUGAAUCCGGGAGAGGGAUGCAGAAUUCCAGGUGUAGCGGUGAAAUGCGUAGAUAUCUGGAGGAAUACCGGUGGCGAAGGCGGCAUCCUGGACCGGCAUUGACGCUGAGGAGCGAAAGCUAGGGGAGCAAACGGG